ensembl:lncRNA
AUGCGACCUGAUCACUGGCAUAACACGAUCUCUAUAGGGACCAGCACGAGCGCAAUCUCAUGGAGCCAGAGUUUCAAACUCAGCAGAUCCAACAGAUCACUGGAUAAGACACGCGGCGCCACUUCGUUCCUCUACAGACCUCUAGAUUGGGUAAACCAUGGGUAAGAAUGUCUUGCAGUGUUUUCCUUGGUACAAACGCUGUAAAGACCGGGGUAAAAGCAGGCUGUGCCCUCCUCCGCCUGGUAAGUCACCUUGUUUACCAAAUCUUGUCCUGAUAUGUUGCUAAUGAAGUUAUAAAUCAAACCGUCUUUCAAUACUCGACACUGAACAUUCAUCUCCUCUCUCUGUUUACGUUCACAGUGCCAUCUGUUGAGGUGCAACCUAGCUUCUCUCCGACAGUCUCCUGGGGUCAUGACGGAGAGGAAAGCGCUGCACGUCCCGUCUAUUUUUCCCAUAAAGCGCGAGUAGUUUAUCGCCACCAGAUGGAUGGCAAUAUUAUCGACGCCACCUGCUGACCUCUGGGCUUCUUUCCCAGAAUCCCUUGCCUUGUACCUGUGGCUGUAGACGUCCAGUGUAGAGGAGCGUCGAAGGAGACUACUAGACUGUUCCAUCCUGUGUAAUUAAACUAAAUCUUUUGCAUUUAGUAAAGAUGUCACAGGUUUUCCUCUGGUUCCCCCAUCCUCUCACCAUACCUGGCAUUCACCUGUCUUUACUUACUGUGUUGAAAUAUAAUAUAAUCUUUCAAGGCAGACAGAGUGAUGUAGGCCACAUGGAAUGGAAAAAAAAGAACUGAGCUGGAUUUUAUAACUACAAAUGUAAUAUGUGUUUUGUCAUGCAAAUAUGAUCCUGGAUGUAUGAUUGCCCAUUGCUUUUCAGAGGACAAACCAUGACUGGUUUUUCAGAGGUUCAUGAAUGCAUUUCAGGCAAAAGAUAAAAUUUUGUACUAAUCACUGGAAUUAUAAUAUAAAAUUUAUGUACAUUUAGUAAUUGUUUCUUAUUCUCUGGUUAUGUCAAAAGAAGUUUAAGUAUUGAAUAAAAUUGUUUAAAUAUAUAAACA